UCUAUGAUAUGUAUAGUAUUAUUAUAAAGAAUUUUUUUUUGUAGACAGGGGCGAGCGCCCCAUUUGGCCUGUACCUAAGUCCGUCCCUGAGUGUAGGUCUAACCCAUAGGUCCAUGAUGAGAAUGGAUUGGGGUUAAAUAUAUAAUGACGAGGUCCCUUAUGUAGUGACAAUCUAAAAUGACUCUACCGCUUGCUCCAUUGACGGCUGUUUAAGGGAGUGUGAGAUACAGAGGAAGACCUAGUCAUUCCCCGCCACUUGAUUGUUGAGAUGAAAGCAAGAUGACUUCCAAAGAAGAUCAUGUAAAUCUUCAAUUCAAUCCUCUUGAGACUCUGCAGGAUGCUCUGAAGAUCCUCUCAUCUGGAGGUCACCCUUGUGGCCUUGUCUUGUUGAUGAAGAAAAGAAACCCCUCUCGAUCGACAUUUUCCUCGACAUCCUCCCAUGCUGCUCUCCAACUCCAAGCGAAGAACACCAUCCAUCACAGCUAUUCCUCAUCAGACAACAAAUGAGAAGGCAAGACUGUCCUUUAUUUCAUUUGAUAAAAUGCUGUUUCAGUAAAAUGACCAAAU